AGCACUCACAACUUUAAUCCUAGUGCCCUUGAUCCUAGCAUUGCCCCGUGAAUGAAUUCCACCAUCACACAUCCUAGAUCCAGCCACCUCUGAAAAAUUCCCCUCUAUGACUGCAUGAGGCUUUGGGGAGACAACUAAACAAGCUACAACAUUUCUCUCUUGGCCUCCCAGAGACUCACAUAUCUCUUUAUGCAAAAGACAUUUAGUCCAUCUCAGAGAGUUGCCAAGGUCCUAAUAGUUUCAGCAUUGCUGAAGAGUCUAAGUCCAAAGUCUUCUCUGAGAAUUAAGACAAAUUCUUAGCUGCAAGCCAAAAGAAAGUUAAACACUUGCAACAUUCGGGACACAAGGUAGACAUUUCCAUUCCAAAAGUUAAAAUCGGAUAGCAAGGAAUGGGAACAAAGCAAGUCCAAAAUCCAGCAGGGCAAACAUUAAAUCCCACGAUUCCACUUCCAGCAUCCCUGGCAAUCCGUUGCGAGUUGUGAACUCCAGAAGGCUUGAGUAGCUCCACUCCUACACCACUGAGUGGUUGUAGCUCCCAUAGCUUCUCUCGGGCUGGUUCUGCUCCCUCUUGGCAGCUGUCUUCAGACAAUCCAUGUACCUGGUUUCUCCAAACUUCUGGGGUUUCCAGUGCACCUUUGGCUUCACACAGUGCCCUCUCAGAGGCACACUGCCUGGCCUCCCAGCCCUUCUGAAAUCUGGGUAAAAGGCUUCCUGACCCCAUAUCUCUUGCAUUCUGCAUGCACCUAAAACCAGCACCACGUGGAUAAUACCAAGGUUUGAUGCUACCUGGAGCAGUAGCCAGGCUUCCUUCUUUCUUGGCUAUAGGGGUCCAGUGUCUAUGACCCAAAUCCCAAGAAACAACUUCCCUAGGCCACUGCCAUUCUGGAACAUGAUGCUCUGGGGCUCUUUCACAGCAAAGUCUUUCACUUUUGCAAUUUUGAGGCUACAAAGGAUAGAGUCCUGCUGUUUCAUGUGGUCUCCUCAGGCCAUCUUUUCUUCUGUUCCGUAGCAGUCCAGAUCUCUUCUGCUGUAUCUUUGCAGCUUUAUUUGUGCUUCCUUUCUGGCCAAACUCAGAGCAUCUUAAAUCAUUCUGCUGGUCUCUUUGCUCUUGAUUCUCAACAUAGAUCUAGCUAAAAGCCUCCAACAGAGGUUAUGCCACUUCCUCAACAUUCCACUGUCUUGAAAUUUCUUCUGCAGGAUUGGUCUGCCGCCUUUAAUCUUAGUCUCAGACAAAGUCUCUGAACACGAGCAAAAUGCAGACAAACUCUGCCAAGGUAUAAUACAUUGUCUGGAGUCCAAGAGCCAAUGCAGUCCUUCCCAGCAGAAACCUGAGCCUGUUUUUCUGAGCUGACCAGAAUCUGCCAUAAGGUGUUCCAACUCUACUUUUUCAGCUGACAUUGCUAAACCUUUCCAAACUCUUCUCACCAGCCAGCCCCCAAAAUUCUGGAACCACAUGGUCAAAUAUAGUCACAGCAAUGACCCCACUUCUCUUGGUACCAAAUUCUUAGUUACUUUUCUCUCAUUGCUAGGACAAAAUACCCGAUACCCAAAGUUAAAAGAAAAAGGGUUAUUUAGCUCAUAGUUCGUAGAGGUUUCAGUCCAUAAUCACCUGGCUCCAAGGCAGGAUAGCAUGUCAAAUAGGCAUUGCAGAGGAGAAACAGUUCAUGGUGGACAGUAGGUAACAAAGCAACAACCGUUUAUUUAUAUCUUAUACAGGCUACUUAGAGCAGGUAGCACACACACCCUUAAUCCUAGUGUUCCUUGAUCCUAGCAUUGCACCAUAAAUGAAUCUCAGUAUCACAUUCUAGAUCCAGGUACUUCUGAAGCCCCACCUCUGACCACAUGAUAGCUAGUGAUUAACUGGGUGACUGGUAUCAGUGAGUAAGUAGUUGUGGGUAACUAGAGAUGGGCAACUAGUUGUAACUUAAGUAGUACUAUCUAGUGGUAUAAAGCACUGAGAAAAAUUAGACCACCUAUGAAGGCACAAUAAAGAAAUGGGCAAGUGAAGUAAAAGACUUCUCAGAAGAAGUACAACUGGCCAAUAAAAACAUGACAAAAUGUUCAACAUUUCUGACCAUUAGAUGCACAUUAAGGCAAAUUCUUAGCUGUGAGUCCCUGUAAAAAUCAAAAGGAAAGUUAAACACUGCUGACAUACAAUUGCACAGGGUAAACAUUCCCAUUCCAAAAAGAGGAUAGAAACAAAUGUGCCUAAAGCAAAAUUGAAAUCCAACAGGGAGAACAUUAAACCCUGUAGUUCCAUGUCCAGCACCUGGGCCCGGCUGUGGCAGGAUGUGAACUCCAAAGAGCUUGGGUGGCCCCACCUCCACAGCAUUGCAGGUGGUUGCACCCCUCAUGGCUUCUCUCUUAGGCAGGCUUUGCUCACUCCUUGUGGCUUUCCUUAGACAUUCCAUGUUCCUGGCUUCUACUUUCUGUGGUUUCUACUGCACUUUUGGCUUCACUCUCACAGUUUCACGCACUGCCAUCUCAGGGGCAUACUGCUUGGCAUCUCAGGCCUUCUGAAAUUGGGGUGGAAGCCUCCAUAAGCCCACAACUCUUGCAUUCUGUAUGCUGUAAAACCAGCAAUGAUGUCAAGAUCUGUUGUCAGGUCAAACAGCUGGGUCCUUUGACGGUGGCUACAGAGGCCUCUGAAUGCCAGGAUGGCUGAACAAUAUGAACUGCGCCCCAGGGAACCAACUCCCUGUGUGGCCCUUCUCCAGCAUGGUGGCCCUUCUCCAGCACAGUGGCCCAGGCUUUCUUCUCUGAUGAAAACGUUAUGGCUUUGUACCUUUGAUCCUAUGAAGGGAGGGAAGGGUCUUAAUGAUUCCUGAAGCCAUUUUUCCCAUUGUCUGGAUGCAAAGUACUUGGCUUCUUCUUUUUUUUUUUUUUUUUUUGGUACCGGGGAUGAAACUCGGGUCCUUGCGCUUGCGCAGCAGGCGGUGAAACCACUGAGCUAAAUCCCCGGCCCACUUGGCUUCUUUUUAAUGCUGAUCUUCAGCAACCAACCUCUCUAUCUUUGUGGGCACUUUCUGGCAAAACUGAAAACUUUAAAAAUAAGCCUUUUGCUCUUGAUUUUCACUAUAAACCUGGCUAAAAGCAGCCAAAACAAUCACCCCACACCUCCAAUAUUGAGCUGUCCUGAACUUUCCUCCAACAGAUUAGUCUGUCACCCUAAGUCUUCUGCAAAGUUCCAGGACAUGAGCAAAAAUGUUGAGGAAUUUUCUGCCAGAGUAUAAUGACCUGGAAUCCAACUACCAGAGAGCCUGUUCCCAACUGAAGCCUCCUGAGCCUGGUCUUUACUGUUAGGUAUUCUGAAAGCCCUGCAAGAACAAGCUCCCUUCUCCUCCCUCCCCACUGUUCUCCUGUAACAGCAAACAGGGAACUUCCACAUAACUAAGGCUUGACCCCUCCUAGUUAGUGACCUUCUACCUAAUUAGGGGUUUUUCUGCCCCACUAGUUUCAUGACCAGAUGUUCCCGUAAGAUAGGGACUUCUUGGAGCCUGUUACUCCAUCCCCCAACCAAAACUUGUUGCUACAUACCCUAACUGCAAUCACCCACCCCCAUCAAAGGACUACGUACUCUCCCACAUACAAAACCCCUAUAUAAGCCUCCAGCUCAGCUCAUGCUGCUGCUGGUCUCCAUUUUGUGAGUCAGCCUGGCAGGCUGCAGACUGCUGCCCCAAUAAAGCUUGCUGUUCGAACAUUUGUGUGCCCCUUCUUAGGCAACACUUUCAUUCUGGUGCCGAAACCCAGGAGGUGGUGCUAUCGGGACCUGCUGCCUCGUCCCACUGGGGCCGGGAGCUGCACUCCUGAUCGCCUCUUCCUGGAUCUGCAGCUGCCGAACUGGGACACACCUCCAGGGCUUUCAGUCCUUUCCCAUUGCCAAAGCUGCAUUCAACACCAGCCUGAUUCUCUUCAUGGCGUGGGAGGCCAGUCCCCUCCCUUCCCACGAGAGAAUCCGGUUCAUUUCUACCUGACCUGUUGGGCCUAGCUGCAGAAGAUUGACGGUGCCCCGGGAUGUUGACUCCUUCACCCAUCACAUCAAAGGAGCCCAGGGUAACUAUCCACGUGACAGGAAAGAUUCAAGGCUUUUACCAACCAGAUGGUCCAUGAACUUCUCCUAGCUGACUAUAAAAGAAUCCCCACCAGCCCCGACCUGACCACUUCACCAGCCUGAGGACCACUCAACCAAUUGCCAACAAGGAACACAUGACUCAGGCUUGGUUGCGCUCAUGAUUUCUUUAUUUCAUUUCUCACCUGCAACAAGUCUUACAUUGGUUUCAUCCCCAAGACGGGUCAAUAGAGGGGAUCUUCCAAUGGGUAACUGACCACUUCUAUCAGGGAACCCUCCAAGACUUCUCCCCUGAGAAAAUUUCCCUUCAUACUUUCUUCCUUAUUUGCUGGUUAUCUCUACUCACUUCACUUCCCCCAUGUCCAAAAGGCCCCUCUGCCCUCAAACCCUGGGGACCCAAUUCUUCUCCCAUGUUGCCCAACAAUCCCUCCCGGGAAAAGUCCGAAGCCUCGUCUGCUGCCUCAUGUACCCAAAAAAGACCUGCCCCUUCUGCGUCCCUUAUAAAGGUUCCUCCCCCGAUUUUACCUGGCACCGAAGGGGAAAUCUAGCUCUCCUCCUUGGAUAUUGCCGCUGCCAUCGCCAGCCCAUCAGACCCACCUGCUGGCACAAGGGGCUCCUUAACCACUCCUGGUUUUCCCUCAAGUUCCAUACCAGAUUCUUAGUCCAUCUUUUCUACCACCUUCUGACUUUCCCUCAAUCCCCUAAGCCGGACAUGCCUCCUGAGUAUUAUGUUAAAAGGAUUUUACAAAUAAUAGUUUUCUUUGACUUCCACAAAGGAACACCAAUCCCCCCUUUUGUUGCUGACGCCUUCCGAGUAAAACUUACCAAAAUCUUCCCUCAUUACCUCAGGCCCUCACGGUGGUCCUGCUGCCCAAAGUCCUUUUACCUACCUCUCAUCACUCCUCUCUGCCUGCUAGAUCUGGCCACCAUGACAAUCGUAGCUGCUCCCAAAAAAUUGGCGCUCCAACAAUUCCAGGCCUACCAAGAAACACUACAGGGGCUCCAGUGCCAUAUCAACUUCCCAGCCAACUCCCCAUUCCCCCAAAACUUCAUGCCAGAUCAGCAGGAAGUAGAUACAAAAAGAGAGACCAUCACCCCAAUUCCAUAAUGAAUUAAAGUCUGGGAUGUUAGGUAUUCUGAAACCCCCGCAAGAACAAGCUCCCUCCUCCCCCCUCUUCUCCUCUUGUAAUGGCAAACAGGGAACUUCUGCAUAACUAAGGCUUGACCCCUCCUAGUUAGUAACCUUCUACCUAGUUAGGGGCUUUUCUGCCCCACUGGUUUCAUGACCAGAUGUUCCCACAAGAUAGGGACUUCCUGGAGCCUGUUACUCCAUCCCCCAACCAAAACUUGUUGCUACAUGCCCUAACUGCAAUCACCCACCCCCAUCAAAGGACUAUGUACUCUCCCACAUACAAAACCCCUAUAUAAGCCUCCAGCUCAGCUCAUGGUGCUGCUGGUCUCCAUUUUGUAAGUCAGCCCAGCAGGAGGCAGACUGCUGCCCCAAUAAAGCUUGCUGCUUAAA